AUAUGGUGAUGGGAAUGUCUUCAUGCGAAGAUGGCGUGAAGAUCCAUUUCCUUGUGAUGGAAGUGUGAAUGCCGGGUCCUCAUAUAAUGGAAUGGUGAAUGAUGUGUCCACUCUUAGUUGAAGUCUGGCCACCUUCUGCACAUCUGAUGAGGUGGUGAUUGAUGUGUUGUAGUGUUAGGGCUGGGUAAUUUCAAGGUCUUCACAUUGCAGUAGGGUGAAGGUAGGUCUUCAUGAGAUGGAAGGGUAAAUUCCCUGUGCACAUACAUGGAAAGCUGGACCCUCUCACAUCACGUGUUGGAAGUUUGAAUGUGGUGUCCUCAUUGAAUGGGAAUGGGAAUGUCUACCUGAAAACUUGAGAGAAGAACAAAGGCUCCAUAUUCGUUGAGGGAAGGUUGAAGGCCCUAUUCUUUGUGGAGGGGUACACACUCACUUGAACUGUGAGUGAAUGAAUGUCAUCUCCUCAAUUAAUAGAAUGGAGAAGUCCAUCUGGAUUGUGGGCAGAAGGACAUUUUCCCUUUAGAGUAUUUGAAUUCCCAAUUCACAAAAAGGGAAGUGUGAACACAAUCUCCAAUAUAUUCUGAAGGACUUUCACACAGAACUUAGGUAAAGAAAGAAAAAUGGCUUCUCUUUAUCUGACAGAAGGAUGAAGGCCAUGUUGCAUAGUGAUAAGAUGGUGAAGGCUAAGUUCUUAUGUAAAGAGAGCAUGCAGGUCCUUUUCUCUCAUAUUGAAAGUGUUGUUGCACACUCCUUGUUGGAUAACAAGGUGAAUGCUGUGUCAUCUAUUAAUCAAAGUCAAAUCACACUGUAAGUAUCUGAUAGAAUGAUGAUUGUUGUGUUGUGAGAUAAGGGCUGUGUGAAUACAGGGUCCUCACAUCACAAUAGGGUGAAAGUCCUGUUGUCAUGUGCUGGAAGGAUGAAUGCCCUGUCCUCAGCUAUGACAAGGUGAAUCCUGUCAGACACAUGUUAGAAGUUUGAAUGUGGUGUCCUCAUUGAUGUGAAUGUGAAUGUGAAUGAUUUAUCUUCACCUCCUUAAAUAUGGAAGUUCCUGUCCUCAACCGAGGGACACUGAACACAUUUUCCUCAUGGGGUGUGUGUUUGUGUGUGGGGGUGAACUCUGUUCUCAGCUGAUGGAAGGGGACUGCCCUUCCUCACCUGAGGGAAAGCCGGGCAGCCUCAUCUGAUGUGUCAACAGGAGGAAUGUCAUGUCCUCAUAUGGUGACAGGGUGAAGAUCUUGUCUUCAUGUGAAGGAAUGGUGAGUGUCCUGUCCUCAGAAGAGGAAAACAAGGUGAUUAUUUCACUCAUGGUGGAAGGGUGAAAUCCAUUUUUCUUGUAAUGGAAGUUCUUAUGCCCUGUACUCAUUUGAUUGGAAUUUGAAAACACUGUGUUUAUCUGGUGGAAAGAUAAAUGUAUUUGUAAACCUGAUAGAAGAAAAAGACUUCUUAACUGAAGGGUAGAUGAACACCCUAUUCUUUGGGGAUGGAACGACAUUGAUUUGAACUUUGCUGUGAGAAUAUGACUGCUGUCUUCUCACUUCAUGGAAUGGUGAAGUGCAUUAGGUAAAUGGAUUGAAGGCCAUCCUCCAUUUAGAAAUUUUGAAUGCCAUCUUCACCCAUAGGGAAAUGUGAGCACACUUUCCAUUAUAAUCUGAAGAAUGUUCAUCUAGCUGAAGAAAAUAAAAUACCUUUUAUUCACCUGACAGAAGAGUGAGGGCUGUGUUAUGCUGAAAGCAAUGUACUGAUGUGGAGAUUGCAAGGAAGUCCUAUUCUCUCAUGAUGGAAGGAUGAAUUCAGAGUCUUUAUGGAAUGGUAUGGUGAAUUGACAUUUGAUCACCUUCUAUGCCCCUGACAUUAUGGUGAUUUAUGUGUGGGUGUUAGGGCUGAGAGAAUUCAGCUUCCUUACAUCGUAACAGGGUGAGGGCCUCGUUUUCAUGUGAUGGAAGGUUACAUGCUCAUCAUCAGACAAAAAGAGGUGAACCCUGUCCUGCCAAAUGUUAGAAGUUUGAAUGUUAUGUCUUCAUUGAAUGGAAAGGUGAAAGGCCAGUCUGCACCUAAUAGAAGACAGAAGGUCUUGUCCUCAGCUGAGAGAAGAAUGCCCUCAUUUUCCUCACAUGUUUGAAAGAUGGACUCUGUGUUCUCAAGUCAUGGAAGGGGAAUUUCUGUCCUCACCUGAGGGAAUUGUGGGCAGCCACAUCUGAUGGGUCAGCAGGAUGAAUGACUUGAUCUCCCAUGGUGAUGUGUGAAGACCAUGUCUUCAUGUGAAAGGACAGUUACUGUCCUGCCCCCAGCAGAAUAAAUGGAAGGUGGGUUCUUCACUAUAGGGAAGGGAGAAUGCCAUUUUGUGUUGUGAUGGUAGUGUUAAUGUUCUGUCAUCACAUGAUCAAAGUUUGAAUGAACUUUGUUUAUAUGAUGGGAAGAUGAAUGUACCUUAUAAUUUGGAAGGAAGCGUUAAGGCUCUGUCAUCACUGAAUGUAAGGCUGAAUGUCCUAUUCUCUGCAAAGGGAAAGACUUUCUUGUGAAAUCCUCUGAGAAUUUGCCUCUUCACCUAACCAAGUGAGAACUCUGUUUCACCACUGCCAUGAGAGGGAAACUCCACAUUCUCAUGUUUGAGAAUAUGAAUGCCCUCUCCUCAUAACCAGAAUUGUGAAACAAAAAAUGUCGACUUCAGACUGAAGAAUUCUGAGCCAGUACUUACCUAAAGAAGGCAAAAUGUCUGGUCGUCAUCUGAGCAAAAGAUGAUUGACAUCUUAUAAUAUGAAAAUAUGGUUAAGAGAAUGUCUUCAUGUGAAGAUAGCAGAACAGCCUAUUCUCUCGUGAUGGAAGCGUGAAUACAGAUUCCUCAUGUAAUGGCAUGGUGAAUGCUGUGUUCUCUUGUAAUUGAAGUUGGACUCCCUUCUGCACAUCUGAUUGAAAGGUGAUUGAUGUGUUGUCAUGUUACAGCUGGAUGAAUUCAGGGUCCUCACAUUGCAGUAGGGUGAAGGCCUUGUUGUCAUGUGCUAGAAGGAUGAAUGCCCUGUCCUCAGCCAUGGAGAGGUGAACUCUGUCACCUCACAUGUUGGUUGUUUGAUUGUGGUGUCCUCACUGAAAGGGAAAUGAAUGGCUUGGUGGUAUGGGGAAGAUCCUCAUUCAAUGGUGGAAACAUGACUACAUUUUGUUUACAUGUUGGAAUGGCAAACUCUGUUAGCUGAUAGAAGAGUAUUGUCUCUCCUGACCUGAUGGAUGGCUGGCCGGCCUCAUCUGAAGUGUGAGCAGGAUGAAUUUCAUAUCCUCACAUAGUGACCCAAUGAAGAGCAUGUCUUCAUAGGAAGGGACGGUGAGUUUCUUUUCCCCCAUAGAAGAAACGGAGGAUUAUUUGUUCACUGAUGAGGGAUACAGCAAUGCCAUUUUGUUUUAUGGAAAUGUUAACAUCCUGUACUCAUAUGUUUGAAUUUUGAAUGACCUGUGUUUAUCUGGUAGAAGGAUAAAUGUAUGUAAAAUCUUGAGGGAAGAGUAAUGACUCUGUCUUCACUGUAGUGAAGGUUAAAGCCCUAUUUUCUGCAGAGCAGAAGACAUUCACUUGAAGUCCCCUUUGAGAAAAGGAGUGUCAUAUUGUCAGUCAAGGGAAUGGUGAAGCCUAUUUUAUCACUGAUUGAAGGACAUUCUUCCUUUGGAAAAUUUGAAUUCCCUCUCAACAUAAAGGUAAAUGUGAACACCAUGCCCACUAAGUAUGAAGAAGUAUCACAUAGAGCUUAGCUAAAAGCCAAAUGCCUUCUCUUCUGACAGAGGAGUGAAUGCCAUGUUGUGAUGUGAGAAUAUGGUGAAGGGAAUGUCUUCAUGUGAAGAUAGCAAGGAGGUCCUGUUCUCUCAAGAAGUAAGAGUUAAUGCAGAUUUCUUGAGUGAUGGCAGGAUGAACACUUUGUCCUCUGCAUAUCAAAGUUAGAGCAUACUGUACAUAUCUGACAUAAUGGUGAUUGGUGUGCUGACAUGUAAGUUCUGGGUGACUGCAGGGUCCUCACAUCACAAUAGGGUGAAGGUCUUGUUAUGUGAUAGAAGGAUAAAAAUCCUAUCUUCAUGAUGGAUGCAUGGAUGUAGUGCCCUCAUUGAUGGGAAAGUGAAUGGCGAGCCUGCACCUGUCCUCUGCUGGGGGAUGGAGAACACAUUAUUCUCAACUUGUAGGAGAUUCUGUCAUCCCUGGCAGGAAGACUGGGUACCCUGUUCUAUGUGGAGAGAGGCAUUCUCGUGACCUAUCUUGAGAGAUAGUGAAUGUCAUUUCCUACCCUCAUGGAAUGGUGAAGUCUGUUUCAUCACUGGCCAUAAGGUGAACUCUGAAUCAUCAUGUGAGAGAAUUUGAAUGUCUUGUGCUCACAAAGGAAAGUGCAAACCCAGUGUCCACUACAAACUGAAGAAUUAUCAACCAAUACUUAAAGAAAGCGAAAGCCCAACUCCUCGUUUGACAGAAAUAAUAAAGGCCAUUUUAUAAUGUGAGAAUAUGGCGACGGGAGUAUCCUCUUGUGAAGAUGGCCUUAAAAUUCCUGUUUCCUCGUGAUGGAAGGGUGAAUGCAGAGUCCUCAUGUAAUGAUGUGAUGAAUCUUCUGUUCUCUCCUAAUUGAAGUUUGAACACUCUGUGCACUCCUGAGGGGACAGUGAUUGAUGUGUUGUCCUAUGAGGGCUGGGUGAAUGCAGGUUCCUCACAUCACAGUAGGGUGAAGGUCCUGUUAUCAUGUGAUGGAAGGAUGAAUGUCUUGUCCUCAGCCAUGUUGAGAAGGACCCUGUCACCUCACAUGGAGGAAGUCUGAACGUGGUAUCCUCAAUGAAUGGGAAGGUGAAUGGUCUCUUUGGACCUGAGGGAAGAGGGAAAUUCCUUUCCUCAAUUGAAGGAAGCAUGAACACAUUUUCCUCACAUGUUGAAAGGGUAGAUUGUUCUCAUCUGAUGAAUGGGGAAUGUGCUUCCUUCCUUGAGAGAAGAGUUGGAAGCCUCAUCUGUUGUGUAACAGGAUGAAUGUCUUGUCCUCUCAUGGUGACAGGGAGAAGAUCAUGUCUUCAUGUGCUGGCAUGGUCAGUGUCCUGUACUCAGCAGAUGAAAGGUAGCAUGGUUUCCUGAGUUAUAAGGUUAGAGUGUAUGCCAUUUUGUCCUGUGGUGAUAGUGUUAAUGCCCUUUCAUCACAUGAUGGACAUUUGAAUGUCAUGUGUUUAUUUGGUGGAACACUAGAUGUACUUUACAAUCCCGGGGAAAGAGUAAAUGCUCUGUCCUUGUAAGACUGAAUGUCCUAUUCUUUGCAGAUUAAAGGACAUUCAUUGGAAUUCUCCUUUGAGAUAGUAAAUGCCUUCUCCUCACUAAUUAAGACUGAUGCCUUUUAUCACUGGACAGAAGGGCAACCAUGGCAUUCUCAUUUUAGAGAAGUUGAAUGCCUUCACUCUGAGGGAAGCGUUAAUGUCUACUUGUUCACUUGUGACUGAAAAUUAUCACCCAGUAAUCACCUGAAGAAGGCCUUGUGCCUUCUCCUUCUCUGAGUUCAGGGUGAAGGGUGAAGACCAUAUUACAGUGUGAGAAUAUGGUGAAGGGAAUGUCUUCACGUGAAGAUACAGGUCUUGUUCUCACAUGAUGGAAGGGUGGAUGGAGUGUCUGCAGGUAAUGGUUAAAGGUGAGUAUUCUUUUAUCCUGUUGGAAGUUUGAGCAGCCUCUGCCCUUGUGAUUGAAGGAUGAUUGAUAUGUGUCAUGUUAUGUCUGUGUGAAUGCAGGUUCCUCACAUCACAAUAGGGUGAAGGUCUUGUCAUGUGAUGGAGGGAUGAAUGAGUUGUCCUCAGCCAUGGAGAGGUGAACUCUGACACCUGAAAUGUUGGAAGUUUGAAUGUGGUGUCCUCAUUGAAUAGGAAAAUGAAUGUCUUUUCUGUACCUGAGGAAUGAGGGAGGGUCCUGUAUUCAACUGAUGGAUGCAUGAACACCUCUUUUUUAAAAAAAGAUUUAUUACUUGAAAGACAGAGAGGUAGAGCUAGAGUGAGAGUGAAAGUGAGAGCAAGAGCAAGAGAGAGAGAGAGAAUUCUUCAAUCUGCUGGUUCACUCCCCAAAUGACCACAAUGGCCAGAGCUGAGCUGAUCUGAAGCCAGGAGUCAGGAGCUUCUUCUGGGUCUCCCACGUGGGUUCAAGGGCCCAAGGACUUGGUCCAUCUUCUAAUGUUUCCCAGGCCAUAGCAGAGAGCUAGAUCACAUGUGGAAUGGCUGGGACUCGAGCCAAUGCCCAUAUGAGAUGCCUGCACCAUAGGCCAGACUUUAACUCUCUGAGCCACAGUGCCAGUACUGUGUGGACACCAUUUCCUUACCUAGUUGAAGCAUGAACUCCCUGUUCUCAGCUGAUGGAAGGGGAAUGGCCUUCUUCUUCUGAGGGAAGAUGGGCACAUCAUUUUUGGUGUCAGUAGAGUCAAAGCCAUGUCUUCAUAUGGAGAUAGGUGAAGAUCAGGUUUUCACAUGAUGAAUGUUAGAUGCCCCAUCCUCUACAUGGGAAAAGGAGGAUGGCUUCUUUACCUAUGAGGGAAGAGUAAGUGCUAUUUUAUCUCGUGAUUGUGAUGUGAAUGCCUAGUCCUCACAUGAUGAAUGUGCGAAUGCCCUGUUUAACUGUUGGGGUGAUAGAAGUAUUUUACAAUCCUGAGGGAAGAGUAAAGGCUCUGUCUUUGCUGGAUGCAAGGCUGCGUGUCCUAUUCACCAUUUAUGGAAGUUCACUUAUUUGAACUCUUCUGUGAGAUACAAAAUGCCUUCUCAUCACCUAAUAGAAGGGUGACAUCUUAGUCUUGUCAGGACAGAAGGGCAAACAUGUUCUGUUCCUUUUAAAAAAAAUUAUAUGUUAUGCAAGUUUCCUAUAUUUCACAAUACAGCUUUAGAGAAGGCAAUGUUUUAAUGAAAGAACAGGUGCAUGGUGUGUCCUCAUGUGAAGAUAGCAAGAAAGUCUUCUAAGCAGGAUCCUUAGCAAUGUAAGUGAAUGCUGUAUCCUUUCCAAGUAAAAGACUAUGCACUCUGUGCAUAUCCCAUGGAAGUGUGAUUGAUGUGUUGUCAUGUACAUUCUGGGAGAGUGCAGGGUCCUCACAUCACAAUAGGGUGAAGGUCAUGUGAUGGAUAGGUGGAUGCUCUGUCCCCCACUAUCUAGAGGUGAAGGCUGUCAUCUCACAUAUCUGACCUUUGAAUUUGGUGUCCUCAUUGGAUGGCCUGCCUUCACCUGAUGGAAGAGGAAGGUCCUGCCCUCAAACUGAGGAAUGCUGAGUGCCUUGUUCCAUGAUGAUGGAAGGAUAAUCACAUGAACACUCCUGUGGGAUAGCAAACACCAUCAUUUCUCCUAAUGGAAUGGGAGGUGAAGGACCUGAUGGAAGAGUGAAGAUCUGAUUGUCAACAGGAACAUGAAUGCAGUUUCUCCAGCUCAUAGGAGAGUGAACUCUGUUGACUCAGCUGAUGGAAGGGAGAAGUCUGACCUCGCUGGAGUGAAGAGCAAACGCCAUGUUCCAAGCUUACAGAAUUUGAAUGCCUUCUCAUGGAGGGCUGUGGGAGCAUCCAGUCCUCUACCAAAUGAAAUAUUGUCAUCAGUGUUCACCAGAUGGAACUGUGAAUACCUUCUCACCAGAUGGCAUGUUGGAGGCCAUGUCCUAAUGGGGCAGUAAGGUUGUAGGUCACUUCCUAAUGUGAUUGUAAGAUGGGUGCCAUGUCCCGACAUGAAGGCCUGGUGGAGGUCUUGUCCUGAUGUGAGGUCUGAGUGUAUGUGCAGUGCUCAGGAGAUGGUAGGGAGAAUGUCCUGCCCUUGUCUGCUAGAAAGCUGAAGGCCCUGUGCCAGUCUGAUGGAAGGGUGAAGGAAGUGCCAUGUGAGUGUCAGGAAAAACACAAGAAUUGCUGACCAAGCCUCUAGGCCUGUUCCAAGAGUCCCUGGGGUUCAGGCCUCACCCAACUCCUCAGAGGCACAAGACACUGUCAAGAGGACAGGUGGACCUCCCUGUUACUCCAACCUUCACAAGUCACCCCGGGUCUCAGCUCCUGGCCCCUCGUGAUGGAAACUGCUGAAUCCAAAAUAUUUGAGGUCACAUCAGGGCAGGAGGAAGGCAGUGACAAAGAAGGCUCCCUAGAGUCCUGGCUCUGACCUCUCUCUGUGUACCUCAAAGACUGUGUCCAUCCUGUAGCUCACAGAUCCACAUAAGCUCAGGCAUAUUCCAGCUCCAUCACCAGUUCCUCUUCUGAAGCUCACAGAACCCUGCAGGCUGGAAACUUCUGUUCCCCAGAGAGUAGCAUCCAGUAGGGAUAUGUCCUCUUCCAUGUCUGUCCCAGGUCCGCUGCAACUGGGCCUCAACUUGUGUAGUGUCCACCUGAAGACAGGGCCAAAGUCAUAUAACCUACUGUGGCCCUUGCAGUCCAAGCUCUUCUGGCACAUUGACAGGCAGAAGUGCCAGGCACAUGUUGGGAGAACUUCCCAAGUCUCCCCAGUUCCUAGUAGCCUGUGUGUGGGCUUCCUCCUCCUCCAUGGUGCAGGUUGUCAUGUUUGCUGCUGGAGCCUGGCACUCCAUCCACAGCCCAGGCAGGUCAGCAGCAUGCUGCCCUGCCUCCAAGAUUGGUAGAGCUCACAGAACACAUCUCAGGGGUACAGUUCCCUGACCCUGAUGGGAUCAACCCAGCCUCAUCUGUUGCUGGAAGACUGGAUCACCAUGAGUCCCCCGCAAGGGUGUGAGCACCAGGCCACUGAAUGUCUUUUGUUCCUGGCCUGGUCUGUGUGUGAAUUCAGUACCAGCUGUUCCUGUUGGAGCAGAUCCUGGCUCCCUGGGCUUGCAUGUGCAUGAAAAUACCAGCUCAUUGCCUGGGCAGCCCGUGAGAACAUGGAACAGCAAUACACAUUAGUUUGGCUACCUCAGAGCCACUCAGGGGUACUUCUAGCCUCCUUGUCACCUUGCUAGUUAAAGAGCAAUAAAGUGUUUGCUUUAAUAUGUUUUGGUCCAUUCUUGGGGCACACAGAGCCUGAGGUUUGUUCCAUUCUUGGGGCACACAGAACCUGAAGAACAGUGGUUCCUGGUGGUUCUCCUUUGGGGCGACAGGCACUGCAUCGUCCACCUUCAGUCAGAGGUCCAGGUCCCAAACAUUUAAUACCUUUUGGGUUACCAAGCCACUAGGGGCCAGGGCUGUGUUGAGUGGUAAUAAAGUCUGAGGUGCAUGGGCAUUGGGACAGUUCAUGAGAUUCUGUGGAACACACAUGUUAGGGUCUGGAGUGACCACAUUGCACCUUCUAGGCUGGCCAGCUUCAGUGUCCAUUCCUCUGUGGUUCUGUCUCUCACUGUGGCUCUCAGAAUCCAGCACUUCUUUUUUAAAUAUUUUUUUUUAAAUAAGAGGCUUCCAGUCCAGUUUGCAAGCUACUUAGGGUAUUUCUUUUUAGUCUUUUCUUUUCUUUUAUUAUUUAUUUGACUGAUGAGUUAGACAGUAAGAGAAAGAGACAGAGAGAAAGGUCGAGAAAGGUCUUCCUUCCGUUGGUUCACCCCCAAAUGGGCUGCCACAGCCAGAGCUAUGCUAAUCUGAAUCCAGGAGCCAGGUGCUUCCUCCUGUUCUCCCAUGCGAGUGCAGGAGCCCAAGCACUUGGACCAUCCUCCACUGCACCCCCAGGCCACAGCAGAGAGCUGGACUGGAAGAGGAGCAACCGGGACUUGAACCCAUUGCCCAUAUGGGAUGCUGGCACCACAGGUAGAUGACUAACCAAGUGAGCCACAGCCCUGUCCCAGAAUCCAGCACUUCUAAACUCUGAUCCUAGGACAGGUCAAAGGUAGCCCCCAAACACAGGCCAGGAAUCCAAUAGUGUCACAGUGACCCAUGAUAUCAGAUUGGUGUUGGUGGUUUAUUUUGGUGGCUAGGAACCCAGCUAGGUCCCCUCAUGGUAGGAGAGCUCACCUUUGAAACUCAGGCAGCUGGAUUCCCCAGCUUAUGCAUAUGUGUGGCACGAGAGGCGAUUUCAGCAUGGGGACUACUGUUCCUUCAUCUCUCCCCAUGGGCUGCUGUGAUGGGCCCAACAUAAGCUUGCCCUCUCUCUUUUUCUUCCUAACAUGCAAGUUCAUGGCCCUCUGUGCCCCCAUGUGCAGGUAGCAGGCCUGGCACACAGGAUGACGGCUCAGCCCCUCCUCUGGGCAUCUGCAGCCCAGAAUGUAGGGGAAGGGGUUGUCCUCAAGCUACACUCAGUGACAAUAUGAGGUCAACAGAGGGCCAGUCCUGUGGUUAGCUGCUUGGUGGGUAGACAGCACAGAAGGGGGACAGCUGAGGGCAGCGGUGAGCCCCUCUCCAGCAGUAGCAGGUGCUAUGUGGGGAAGCCUGUGAGUGCCCUGGCAGGCCAGGGGUUGGCACACAGUUCCAGCCUCAGAAGGUCAGUGGCCGCACUGGACCUGCUUUCCCAGGGUGCCAACAUUAUCACCAGAGGUGCAGAUGGGCAUGUCUGAAUCUGGACUGCAACUGUAACACGUGAGUCUGAAAGUUCACCCACAGUCACCAUAACAGUUGUAAUGCACCACACUGAUAUUAGUGUUGUAAACUUAAAAUUGUGGGGUCAAGGAAUCCUUUGUUGAAAUGGUACCAAGACAAAUCUCUGUGAAUGAAUUGAUUUCAUUAGGAAAACUCAGUCCCUGAUCACCAAAUCCACAUGCCCCUCUCAGGCACUUCCCUGCCAAAGCUGUGUAAGUCCUGUUUCAGAACACGGGCCUGGGACGGUACGCACACAGGGCUGUUCAAGAAGCCACCACCUGAAUCUGCACAUCGACUGUGUGUAGUGGAGUCCAUCUUAUUCAUGUCAGCACCCUUGUGCAUCAGCUCCAGCACAGCCCUGGAAAAUGCCAGGAUCCAGCUUCCUGGCACCUGGGCCUCAUACCUCCAUACUGUCCUGGACUCAGGCAGCAAGUGUAACUUUGGGAUCCCAGCACCUCAGUCUGGGAUCCCAGCUCCGUUGCUAUAGACCAAGUGUGUGCAACACAGGGAACUGUGGGCCUGAAUCACAGCCACUCAGACUUGUGACAUGCACCACCCUCUGCAGGCUGUGCAUUUGUGUGUCCUUCCCCCAUUUUCCCUCGUCAAGCAAUGGACAGCUGGUGACCGCUGCAGCCUGGCCACUGCUGGUCUUGGACGCUUCUGUGCAGAGUGUGGCUUGCUGGGUUCUGGCAGUGGAACCAGGGAGGAGCCACGAGCGCUGUGCAGGACCUGCCAGGUGUGACUGAACUGCCUGCCUUGGGAGCAAGGGAGGGGCCCUGGCGGGAAGGAUCCGGGGAACAAUGUCAAAAGCAGGAUUUCUGGCCCACCCUGAACCGGUUCUGUGUCCACCUGGUGCCGUCUAGAUCCAGCAUGGCCACACUCGGGUUCAUCUACACCCACACUCCCUACAGGGCAGUUCUGUCUAGAACCACACAUGUCUACAUCAGCGCUCCCCCAAGCACGCUCUGUCCUGAGCUGCAUGCAUCCACCUGUGCUGGGUCAUCAUCCUACCUGAGGCCUGGCCACCUUUGAUCUUUGCUCCAGUAGCAGAGGAUGGAAGUUGGCGCCAAAGAGAAGUCCCGCCCCUUGGGGUUUCUUAUUGGUCGGGCCCCAGUGGCGGCACAGCUGAUUGGCUGCAGGACUUAACUGGCGCGUGGACGCUGUCACCUCGGACUGGUGGCCUUCAGCUCUGAGGUGCUUUCAGACCAGGCUUCCAUGGAGUUGGGGACGCAGCUGCCUGGAGGAACCUUGAGUCAGCGCGGUCAGCGCGGUUAGUCCUGGGCUUCUGGCUUUCCGGGCCAGUCCAACUGGGCCUCAGCCUCGCAGUUCCUUCCUCUGCUCAGUUUCUGGGGUCCCUGAGGAGUCGCUCGCGCUCACCGCUGGGCUCCUGGGCUUCUGCCCCAGUGCACAGGGUACGUGGGCGCCCGUGGGACCCCUGUGCGGACCCCGGUCAGGGUCCUCAUGAGACUUGGCAUUGGGCCUCUUGCGCAGUUCCCCAUGGCCCUGGCUCAGAGUUUGCUCAGUCUUGGUGCGCGGGGCGCUGCAGGAGGGGUCUGAGGCCCCCUGAGAGGCCUCAUGGGCAGCUGUGAGGGCCUGGGAGCACCUGAGGAGGCGUCAGGUGCGGGAGCUGGCCCACCCGUGGGGGCUGCAGCUGAGGGCGCAGCUGGUGAUUCCGUCUGCUGUUAGUGCCCAUCAGGCCCGACACUGGUGGAAGAAGUGCAGAGUUGGGAUUUGGAGAGUGUGGGAAAUCAUCCCCAUCUAUUAUUAUGAAAGAAGAAGGUGGAAAGAAUGAAACGUUGGGGAGAUGAGUGCUUCAGGAGCUCACUGACCCAUUUGGGUUAAUUAACGUGGUCCUUGGUAGUUUUACACGCUUCACCAGAGGGUGGUGUGGCUUUAACAGAAUGGCAUGAUCCUAUCUGCUUUUCAGUGAAUUCAGAAUUGAGCCGCCUUCAGAGCUGUUUCUGCGGGUAUUUUAUUUGCACAUGAAGGACAUUGAGGAGGAACUAGACUUAAUUCUCAUUGUCAAAAGGACAAACAGAUUCAGAAGACAUGACAGUUGAUAUUUAAUAAAGCAUGAAGCUGUUUAUAAAUUCACAGAAAAGAUUAAUUUUGUUUCAAUUUUUAAAAAUCCAACAAUGGACAGAAAAGUCAGUGAUACUGCAGGUCACUCUAGCAUGUGAAAUUCUAACUGUUUGCCACCUGGUGAGGGGAGACAGCAAGGGAGAUGGUGAGGACUGCAGAGCCAGCCCCUUAGGUGACUUUGGGCAUGUGAUUUGGUCUGUGUUGUGGUCCAGUUACCUCUGAGGUGGAAUGGGGUUUAUGCAAAUGGUGUGCAUAACUCACAAGUUUUCUUGAUAAAAACUUGGUGGUUUGCAGUCCUUGAAGCCAGCAUCCUGUGAACCUUUUUUGUGGCUGGCUAUGAAAUAUAUAGUCCCCACAUUCCCCCCAACUGUUCUUCGAACUGGCUCCCAUCACCUGGGGACAUGCACCAUUGGCUGUUGGCAUGGACUAGGAUUUCGUGAAUGCUUGUUGCAUUAAGCAGCCAUUGGGAUAUGUGCUUGUCAACAAUACCUGCACACUGAUAGAAAACAGCUACUGUUUUCUCUGCAGUCCACAGGUCGACCGUCUGUUCUGCUGGGUGGGGGCUUCCUGGGCUGGGAUGGCCUCUUGCCAUGUCUGAUGACUGCCAGCUUCCACUUGAGGCAUCAGGAACAACUGGUAACUAACAGGCUAGCCAGGCCAAUGUGAGCUUUUAUAUAGUUUUCUUUGUAUCCCAUUCAGGGAAUUAAUGCUUUAAGAUUCAACUUAGUUGUAGCUUCAUUUCUGCUAAGAAGUUGUAUACCUGUGGGAAACAAGCCCACCUACCUACCAAAGAAUGGACUCAGAAAAAUAAAGGAGACAUAAAGCAAGUGUUUUAUGGAUUCCUGAUCCCGAGAGCAGUGACCAGCCUAUGGAAAUAGGCCCCACCCUCAAAAAUUCAGCUUUUUAUCCUUGCCAUGCAGUGGUCCCUUUCCCCUGAUCCUCAUUGGCAGAAUGAAAUGGGGGGGUGGAAUCUAAACCCAGAUGGCCCCCAGGGUGGGGUGGGGUAACAGAUGAGUGGGUACCCAGACCAGUUGCUGGGCAGACAGGAGAAGAGGGCUGAGGGGGUCAUGUGGUAGUAAUGGCAAGGCUUGCACAGUUCCAGAAACUGAGACCCUGGAGCCUUUUGUAAGGAGCACCUGGUGGCUACAGAUUACAGCAUGGCUGAAGGUGACAAAGAUACUCAGUGGUGAGUGGGCAAAGUUUGUGAAGAAAGCUCAGCAGGGGACUGAAUUUUGGGUCUUUGCAACUCUGUGUCCUUUGUGUUACUGAGGCCUGGUAUCAUCGGCACACUAAGGCUAAGUCUUUUAUGAAAAUACACCUGAGCCAUUUAUCACAAUAUCACAGACUAUGUCUGUUAUGGAUCUUAAAAAGAUUUAUUUGUUAUUUUGAAGUCAGAGUUAACACAGAGAGAGGGAGAGUCUGAGAGAAGGAUCUUCCAGCUGCUGGUUCACUCCCCAGGUGGGGUCAAUGGCCACUGUUGGGCCAGGCGGAAGCCAGGAGCUGGGAACUUCUUCCAGACCUCCCACAUGGGUGGCAGGGCCAAGUACUUUGGGCCAUCUUCUACUGCUUUUCACAGUUCAUGAGCAGAGGUCUGGGUCAGAAUUGGAGCAGCCAGGACCAGAGCAUGUGCCCACAUAGGAUGCUGGCAUCCCAAGCGGCAGCUUUACCUACUAUGCAGUAAUGGCAGCCCCUAAUACAUUCUUAUCAUAGCAUUUGCUAUGCAGGAAAGGUAAUUUAAUUGGCCUUUGACUCUGCUGUAUUAAACAUCAAAAACUAAAGCAAUCCCUCCUAGGGUCUCUGAUUCCCAUUCUCAUUUGUUCAUGUAUUUAUUUUAAAGAAUCAUUUAUUUCUUUGAAAGUCAAGAGUUACAGUGAGAGAGAGAGGGAAGGAGGGAGGUCUUCCAUCCUCUGGUUCACUCCCCAAAUGGCCACAAUGGCCGGAGCUGCACCAAUCUGAAGCCAGGAGCCAGGAGCUUCGUCUGAGUCUCCCACAUGGGUGCAGAGGCCCAAACACUUGGGGCCAACUUGUACUGCUUUCCCAGGCCAUAGCAGAAAGUUGGGUUGGAAGUGGAGCAGCCAAGUCUCAAACCAGCACCCAUGUGGGAUGCCGUCACUGUAGGUGGAGGUUUAACCUGCUGUGCAACAGCCAUGUUCCUCCAUUCUCAUUUAAAAUGCAUGUUUAGCAAAGAUGUCAGAUUAAAUUUUCCAGGGUUCAGAGCCCACCAGGGAAAUGUGUUCUUUUUGAUGAACUUCCUCUCCACUGUGCUUGUAGUGAAGCCUUCCCGGGGGCUGCUGUCUCAUGCCAUCAGCCACCUGGCCACAAACUGGGGACCAUCAGUGCAGGUGAAGCUGGAGGGAGAGCGCACAGCACAAAUGUUCCCAGCUGGGAAGAUCCUGCCUGUGGCCCAGCUUGGCCUCAGGUUCUGUCAGGACAUCUGCUGAUUUAGGAAGCAACUGGCAGCUUCAAGGCUCCUCAGCCCCUGUGCCUCUGGCUGAGCUCUACCAUACCAUCAGGCAUUGCAGACAAAGGGACCUGAGCUCCUCACCCUGCCCUUGAGGACACACCACCCACAAAGGUGCAUUACCAGUGGGAAAUGAAUGGUGCCCCGUGAGAGUGAUGAUGUGGCCUCCUGAGACCCAGCACUGUGCUGUGCUGUGCUGGCACCGAGAGUGAGGCCCCUGGUUAAGAGACCCCCAGGCAGCAAGGGAAGCCCCAGGGAGCUCACCUCCCCCAUCUCAGCUGCAGUGUCCAUGGUGCAGGAAGGAGCUGGUGACAGGGUCCACAGUAGGACUGAAUGGGGUGGGGCACAGAUGCAAACACCUGCUUGGAUCCUGCACGAGUGAGGGUGGAACGGACCCCAGAAGGAUUACAGGUGUGUGCAGGUCCCUGUCCUUGCUCCUUUCUAGCACUACUCAGAGCACAGAGGGGUCUUUAACCUGUGUGGGGAAUGGGGCCAAACAAGCCUUUUCUUUGACAUUGCUGUCCUGGGGAGAGGGCGUCAUUCCUUUAGUGCACAUGGGCCUGAGAGGCCUGUGAGGCUCUCGGGUCCAGAUCCCUGGAAGUGCAGGGCCCAUGGGAGGCAGAGACCCUGGAUCCUGGCCAGUGUGUAGGGCUCCAUCCCCCAGCCAACCCUCCUCAUGGAGGGUGGGCAUGGAGGAGAGUGGGCUAAGGACAGAGGGCUGAGGAAGACCAGCUCUGGGGCCUGCUUUCUGCCUGGAAUUACCUGAGAAGUGAGAAGCCCAGAGGUGCUGACUGGUCAGCACUUGACGUGCUGGCGACCUGCCGAUGAACCAAGCCCAGGUGCUUCCUGGGCAGUGAAGGUGCUGCUGUAAUUUAAGAUCAGUCACAGCCAAGAACUCUGUGCUUCAUGCAUAUGCAAGGCUGCUCCUUGGUGCAAUGCCUCACAGAGCCUGCUAAGGACUGGCCUUAGCUCUCCCCAAGGACAGCACAGGCAUGUGCUUCCCUGGCUGUUGGGACAACAUGGUCCCAGGCCGUCAUGGAUCUAGAGUCUCUGGGUGCAAUGUAACUAGCUCUGUAAAGGCCCGUGGACUACACAUGGGUCCAGGUUGCGUCCACCCUAGUAUUCAUGGAGUGGAUCUGCUCACCAGCUCCUGGGCUGUCUUUAGGACUGUCUGAUGCUUGACUCAGAAAAUAACCAAGAUGCUUUUGAGGCUUGCACUCAUCAAUGUUUGUUAAAAGCAUCCUGGGUGUCAGUGUUGUAGCAUUGCAGGUAAAGCUACCAACUGCAGUGCUGGCAUCCCAUUUGGGUGCCAGUUCCUGUCCCAGCUGCUCCACUUCUGAUGCAGCUCUCUGCUAAUGCCCUCCGUAAUGCAGUGGAGGAUGUACCCUUGUAAACCAGCAGAUGGAAUAUGUCUUUGUUACUGAUUUUCAAAGAAAUCGAUGUUUGUUAACGCAUCCCAGGCCAGAAAGUGGAGCUGUGCUGUAGCUGCUAGAGCCACGACCUGCAGUGCUAGCAUUCCACAUGGGUGCCUUUUGAGUCCCGACUGGUCCACUUCCCACCCAACUCUCUGCUGUGGCCUGGGAAAGCAGUGGAAGAUGGCCCAAAAGCUUGGGCCUCUGCACCCAUAUGGAAGACCCAGAAGAAACUCUAGGCUCUUGGCUUCAGGUAGGCCUACCUCUGGCCAUUGCAGCCAUCUGGGCAGUGAACCAGUGGAUAGAAACCUUUCUGUCUGUCUGCCUAAACCUCUGUCUCUCUGGAACUCUGCCUUACACAUAAAUAAGUAAUUAAGUAAUACAUCUUUAAUAAAAAUUAUGAAAGCAUCCCAUGCCAAUUACUUGGGGAACAAAAGCUGCAAGCAGAGAGUUGUGUGCCAGAGCCCUUGGGCAAGUGGCCCUCACAGCUCUUUAGUGGGGUGGGGAGGAGUUGCAAUAGAGGCACCACAGUUCUUGGGUAAAAGCAAGGGCAAAGGAGUGCAGGGGUACUUUUGGAGAUGGUUACCAUGGUUGGUGUCUGUAUGCAGGGCCAGGCCUUAUGUUGCUCUGUUAAUGAGCCAGGUUUGAAGAGCAACUCACUGGGCCUCUCACUGUAAUGAGUCAGGUGUGAAUAGCAACUGGGAGUUUUGUUGGCCGUGGCCUCUGGAAAACUCACCUGGUUUCUGGGAGCUUCAGAUACUCCCUCUGUAAGUUAUUUGUCAGGUCAGUGAGACCAACAUCAUGGGAUCGUUGUGAUAACAAUGAGAUAAAGAGCGGCCAGUGUUGUGGCAGAGUAGGUUAAUCCUCCACCUGCAGCAUUGGCAUCCCAUAUUGGCACUGGUUUUAGUCCCAGUUACACCUCUUGCAAUCCAGCUCUCUGCUGUAGCCUGGGAUAGCAGUAGAAGAUGGCCCAACUGCUUGGUCCCCUGCACACACAUGGUUGACCAGGAAGAAGCAUUUAGCUCCUGGCUUUGGAUCAGUGCAUCUCCGGCCAUUGCAGGCAAUUGGGGAAUGAACCAAUGGAAGGAAGAUUUUUCUCUCUGUCUUUUUAUCUCACUGACUGUAACUACCUGUCAGAUAAAUAAAUAAAAUCUUAAAAAAAAACCCACAAUGAGAGAAAGAAUGUGUUCCCAUGAUCAGCUGCUUAUAGUAGACCAACCUCAAAUCCUGUGGUGUGAGAACAGCCACCAUUGACCCUGCUGUUGAACUCUGUGAUCAGGAGUGUUGGUAGAGAGUAGCAAGGAGUGGCCUGCUCAUUGCCAGGUCUAGGGUCUUGCCCACCAUAGUAUGGCUGGGGUUGGGGGUGGGGAGGAGCUGGGCCUCUGUAUCUCAACUCUACCCUCCUGGGCACAGCAACCUCAGACAAGUGAUCCUUCCAGAAACCCUAGUGCUCAGGAAGGAGGGGAGACAGGUGUUGACAGACUCUCCUCUCCCAGAACAAAUGGGUGGCACCUGUAAGAUGUUCCCAUGGGAGUUAGGUCAUGACCCACUUCUUAUGGCUUUUUAAAAAUGUAAUAGAUUUUAUUUUUGGAGCACUACAAAUAAUUGAGCACAAAGAAAGACUGUUUCUCAUACUGUCCCUCUGUUAGAAUCGGGUAACAAUGUGCUGCUGUAUUUGUUCAAAUCCAAAGCUAAGGUCAGUAAUGAGCAUCAUUACUUAAUAAAGUCCACCAUUUCCAUUAGUGUUUGCUCUUGGUGCUAUGCCUUGUGUCUCUGGGCAGCUGUCCUUAUACAUGAAGAAUAUGGAAUGUGUGUUUCAGGUUGUACAGGACAGCCACUGCCUCAGCUUCUUCCAUCUCCUGCUCUGCUCAUUUGUGGCCACCACUUAUCUCUUUACUCUCUCCAUGGUUUAGCCUUUUCCAGAAUGCCCCAGCAUUGGAAUGACUCAGUGUGGCUUCUUUCACUAGGUAAUUUCCAUCUGGGAUUCUUCUGAACAUUUUGUGGGAAAUAAGCCCACCUCAAACUAUCUACCCAUGGAAGGAUGGACUCACCAUCAUGAAGGCUGUAGAACGUGAGGCAUUUUUUGGUAACAGGUCUCAAGAGCAGAGACCAGCAGAUGGAAGAAGGCACUUCCCUCAGAGACCCAGCUCCUGGUAUCCCUACGACACCGAGGUCCCUUCCCCCAGUUGCUCUUUGGUUAAGCAACUUGGGAGGUACAUUCUCAACUCUGUGUGUGGGGUAACAGGGAUGAGUGUUGUUGGGCAGGUAUGGGACAGGUGAGCUGGGGAGUUACCUUGUGAUAACAGUCACCUUUAAAGGAUCUUUAGGAGACUGGUGGACCUGCCCCUGUUAGUCUCCCUCUCUCUGGAGCCUUGGUUAUUGGUCGUUGAUGUGAGUAUUGUGGGC